CUUUUUGUUAACAUUCAAGUUUUGUUCCCUGUUCCUUGGAGUCUGCAUUUUGGGUCCUUUUUUCAAUUCAUACAGUCUGUCCUCGCCAGACUGUGACAGUCCGUGCUUGCUCGAAAGUUUACGAUUUUUUUCGCUGUAAAAAGAAGUUCCUAUGCAGUGAGCAGCGGACACUAAUGUUUUCGUCACUUUUUACGGAAUCAAACUCAAAGUAAGGUCAGUACAUCCACGCUUUAAACGCUGUAUGGUCAUACUCUCUCCCGCACUCGAUAUAUUAUCCUUUGUUGAUCUGCACACAGCUGUUGCCACAAACAGCUGUGUGCUGUGAAACACUCUUGCAAAAAAGUCACAGUUUUAGUAAAGGAGUAAUUCAGCGUGCUUACGGGAAAGUAACAGUAAUCUUAUUACCUUUUUUGCAAUAGUAAUCCCUUACUUUACUCAUUACUUGAAAAAAGUAAUCGGAUUACAUUAACACGUUACUUAUAACGAUACUUGUAACGCAUUACUACCCAUCUCUGAACAUGAGUAACACUAAUCAACACACGCGCCAAGUCAGGCUGAGACAGCAGCGACAUGCACGCAGCUCCUACCUGCAACACCGGGGGAAGUCAGGUGACCGAAAGGAGAUGACAACAGGUACGCGAUUUGGGGAUGCUCAGAUGGCUGCUACUAUUUAUACUAGCGCCCCCUAAUGCGCAUGACUAAAAGUGGGAUUAACCAGAACAAAAAAAACCAAAAAAAAAAAACCACCCAGCACGCCCCUGCGGGCGGUUUAUCCUUCAAGCUCGGGUCCACUACCAGAGGCCUGGGAGCUUGAGGGUCCUGCGCAGUAUCUUAGCUGUUCCCAGGACUGCGCUCUUCUGGACAGAGAUCUCCGAUGUUAUUCCCGGGAUCUGCUGGAGCCACUCGCCUAGCUUGGGAGUCACCGCACCUAGUGCUCCGAUUACCACGGGGAUCACCAUUACCUUCACCCUCCACAUCCUCUCGAGCUCUUCUCUGAGCCCUUGGUAUUUCUCCAGCUUCUCGUGUUCCUUCUUCCUGAUAUUGCUGUCAUUCGGAACCGCUACAUCGAUCACUACGGCCGUCUUCUUCUGUUUGUCUACCACCACUAUGUCCGGUUGGUUAGCCACCACCAUUUUGUCCGUCUGUAUCUGGAAGUCCCACAGGAUCUUAGCUCGGUCAUUCUCCACCACCCUUGGGGGCAUCUCCCAUUUUGACCUCGGGACUUCCAG
ensembl:lncRNA